GAUGAACGCUGGCGGCGUGCUUAACACAUGCAAGUCGAACGGAGCACCCCUGACGGAGUUUUCGGACAACGAAAGGGAAUGCUUAGUGGCGGACGGGUGAGUAACGCGUGAGUAACCUGCCUUGGAGUGGGGAAUAACAGCCGGAAACGGCUGCUAAUACCGCAUGAUGUAUCUGGAUCGCAUGGUUCUGGAUACCAAAGAUUUAUCGCUCUGAGAUGGACUCGCGUCUGAUUAGCUAGUUGGUGAGGUAACGGCUCACCAAGGCGACGAUCAGUAGCCGGACUGAGAGGUUGGCCGGCCACAUUGGGACUGAGACACGGCCCAGACUCCUACGGGAGGCAGCAGUGGGGAAUAUUGGGCAAUGGGCGAAAGCCUGACCCAGCAACGCCGCGUGAAGGAAGAAGGCCCUCGGGUUGUAAACUUCUUUUGUCAGGGACGAAGCAAGUGACGGUACCUGACGAAUAAGCCACGGCUAACUACGUG
rnacentral:rRNA from 1 species